ensembl:snRNA U4 U4 spliceosomal RNA
AGUUUUUCACAGUGGCAGUAUCGUAGCCAAUGAGGUUUAUCCAAGGCACGGUUAUUGCUAAUUGAUCUAACGUAAUAGUUUGUCCAAAAUAAUAAGAGCAACAAUAAAUAAAUGACAACAGUGUU